CAGAACAUUGUGAGCGUGCAUUUUCCUCAGCCCAGCAGAAGAAGAUGAUUUUGGAGGGGACAAAGAGCUACAUAUGUGAAGCAGUUGUGGCAAUAGUCGACCAUUUAGGAACUGUCUCAUCCAAACUCGAGCAGAGUCUCCUUGCAAAUGCUGUGGUUAAGCAGACUGAACAAAGAAUUGGUUGCUUGAAGCAGAGAAUCCUUGCUUGCCAACAAUAUGCCAUGUGUCUUGAGCUGUGUAACAUGCAACUGGACAUCAAAUUCCCUCAACACCAUC